AUAGUUAUUCCAGUAAGAGGAUAUUAAGCUCCCUCAAACAGGCCCUGUAUAUCUAACAGGCUCUGGCCCCCAGCCUCCCCUGACGCAGCUCUGUUACACUGCAGCACACCCCUGGCCUCCCAGCAACUCCAAGAAGGGAGAGGAGGGAUGGGGGAGGUAGGGAUAAUCUGGUGUCAUUAAACACACAGGCCUUUGUGGAGGUUACCGUACACCAACAGCAGGAAGCUUUUUCUUCCUUCUGAGAGCAUAGGGAGCCUAUGUGAUUUUGUUUUUUUUUUGUUUGUUUUGGUUUUUUUGUUUUUUGCUACCCCUGUGCUCCUGGCUAUUUUACCUCCAGAGCUGCUGGUGAUAAGUUGGUAAAGGAGGACCUCCUUAAACCAUUUGUUAAACCAUUUGAGACUGUUCCUAGUACUUGUUUUAAGCUAUUUUACAUGAUUUUUAAUGUAAUAAACACAUUUAUAAUACUA
rnacentral:lncRNA from 1 species